rnacentral:lncRNA from 1 species
UUUUUUUUUUUUUGUGAAAUUCUGCUAUCAGGAAGAAGUAUAAACUAGGUGAAAUCCACAGAAAAUUAUACAAAUGUAUUCCAUUUAGGUGUUAAACUUAGCAGAACUGAUUAGAGUGGUCUACACGUGUAUUAACCAGUCUCAGCAGAGAUGGCUGAACAGCCAGUGUGUCUGUAAGCCUCUGUAGCCACAGUGCCCUGUAGAAUGUUAUGCAGCCUUAGCUGUCAAGAUGGCACAGUGGGAAAAAGGACACAGGUUCCAUCCCUGGCACCCAUGUUAAAAAUAAAGGGAGCCUGCUGGAAUGGCACCCACUUUGAAUCCUAGUGCUGGGUAGGCAGAGACAGGCAGAUCCCUCGGGGCUUGCUGGCCAGCCAGCAUGGCAAGUUGGUGUGUUCCAAGUAACAGAAAACAUGUCUCAAAACCCAAGGUGGAUAGUGACCUGAGGAAGUAUGUCUGAGGUUGGUUGACCUUUGACUUGUAUACAUAUGCACAUACACAUGUGCACAUGUGCACACAUAAUCUCUCUUUCUCCCUCUCCUCCCCCCUCUCUGUCUCUCUCUCUCUUACACACACACACACACACACAAACACAUACGCACACUACACAUACACACACACAUUACCUGGCCCAACCACAGGUCCAACUUAACAUCCUUUCUGGCCUGCCCCAAAGACUGGUGAUGGAUGAUCAGAAGUCUCAAAGUUCAGGAGAAAGACAAAAAGGCUGCCCCCAAGCCUCAGACAGGUGCUGUGCUCCAUGGCUCUCAGCUAAGGGGCUUUCAGGGUGUGCUGUUUGUAUGGCAUAUGCCAUGUUGAAUACAUUAAGCCUAUGUAAUGUCAGCUCAUAACUAGAAUGUUUUGACAGCUGGCUAAGAGUUUUAUGGUUAUGGUUUUUCGGGUUUAGCCAUAAAUAUAACAUGUCAACCUCAUUCUGACAGGUGCAUAAAUACUAAUUUAGGAAUUCGUUGUUUAUGCUCAGAGUUGAUCUCACUUUUUAUCCUUUUGGAGAUCAAUAUUUCUUUUACUUUAUGUUUUUGCUUAUUUUUUUAAUAGGAAUAUUUUUAUGUUAACUACCAACUAGAUAGUACCUGGUGUAACUUUCUUGGUAGUUACUUCCUGUGGAAGUGACUGAGGCUAAGGAAGGGUGUAACUCCCUUCCUUACUAUGGUCAUGUCACCUGUGCUGCUGGAAAGGAGUUACUUGAAGGGUUAUCUCACACUCUGCCCUUUUGUCCAGUUUUUCAUUCUUUGCAAUUUGCUCUGCAAGUCCACGUGACUUUUAAUGUUGCUUUAAAUUUAAUUACUCUUUCCUGUAAGCAAUUCUCUCCUGAAGGUUUCCCACAAAAGUGUUUGCUGGUCAAAGUUCACUUUCUAAUACAGUGUGGACAAGACUUUUCUGGAAGACAGGGCUGUACCCACCACCAAGAGUAAGCAAUACUGGCUGUGAAGAGCCGGUCGGACAGUCAUGCGCGGGAAAGACUCUCACAGGGCCAGCCUCAGCGGACCACAUCCGUGCUGCCGUGUGUUGCCACACUGGCUGCCUGAUGUCCUGAGGGACUGUGAUGCCCGGGCAAGGGUUGUGCUGGCAAAAGUUACUAUCUUCUUUCCUGACCCAGAUUUUUCUAAACCUUCAGAUGAGAGUCAGUGCACCGAGGCCAUUCUUGGAGCUCUCUUGCUGAAGCGUCCCUUAGGCUACAAAGGGACAGUUCAUGCAGUCAGCUACAUUCAUACCAGUCACAGCCUUCUCCUUCUCUGAACCUCCCCCCUUCCCACUCAAGGUUUCUUUCCAUUUUUUUUCCUUUGCAAAGCAGCCAUGUGAGAGGGAUAAAAUAAUUUUGAAGAGCAUUAUAUGGUGGGAAUUUUGACAAUGAGUGGAAGAUGGUAAUUACUCUUCCAUUAGACUCAGUGGCUUUGGACAGAUAAGCUGCAUUGAAACGGGUGACCAGGGUAUGGGAUCAUGGAUUGUCUUUCACUGUUGUCAUGGCGACAGUGAUGCAGGUGGCCUGUAACUGCCGGGCUGUCAGAUCUUAUACAUCAAACUGGUGCUAAGUGAAAAUAUGUUAGAGGCAUUGAGGAAAAUUUGCCAGCAGUGUUUACAGGAUCAGCCGGAGAAAAGCCAGCCUGGUUGAGGGAAAAAAAAAAAAGGAUUUCCGUUUAAAGUACUGUUUAAUGAUUCUACGGAAGUUGGAGUUUUUACUUUUUAUUAAUAAGAUGAAACUAGAGUAUUAAUAAGAAUGAUUUCUGGGUAUUGGGUGCUGUGUAUGUAAUUAAGAUUCCUUCUGGAGCUCAUGUGACUAUGAAGAGGUCAGAAGAGGUGAGGAUGCUGUGUCCUCUGGGGUCCUUGCUCAGGCUGAGGCGGCCAGCAACACACACUGACAGACUUAAUCUGGAUUUUGUCAGCAAGUGUCACUCAAUGUUUGCUAGCUGGCUGUAGUAAGAACUCUGAAGGAAAAUUCCAAUUCUGAUAGGUUCCUGUAGCAUCAUACAGCUGGACCCAUACUCUGCUGUGCACAUGGGUCAUACUCUGCUGUGCACAUAGGUUCCCGCAGCAUCAUACAGCUGGACCCAUACUCUGCUGUGCACAUAGGUCAUACUCUGCUGUGCACAUAGGUUCCCUCAGCAUCAUACAGCUGGACCUAUACUCUGCUGUGCACACUGCAUGGAAUAUGAAGGAUUUUUCUUUGUCCAGCAGUUACUGUAACCCCCAACCCCCACUUUCUACUUUUUCCAGCCUCUUCUCCAUUUCCCCUGGUUUCUUCUCUCUUCCUUUAAAAUCACGAAUGUCUUGACUUGAACCCUCAUAGGUUGACACGGAGCCUAAUCUAUGAAUGUGAUGGUGGGGGAGGCUUUGUCUCAACAAGUUAAGGCUAGCUUUGUAAUCUUCAAAUAACCAUGCAAAGAUUGGAAGAAGAAAAAUAUAGAGCCUUCCAUUUCCAUGUUAGCUUUGAGAGAAAAGAGAUGGCAAAGCCACAAAACAAGUCUGGAAAGUGAGGACACAUUCUUGAGAGCCAGGCAGAACAGGCGAGUCUUCCGGAAGACCAUUUGCAUUAGGCACUGUGGCUCCAUUUUCACUUGACAUAUUCGUCAGUGGUCAAACUUAAGUUAGUAAGAGCUGAGUCACCGGUGUCCCAUUGGAGCACAAACAGAGCAGAGUAUUAGCGGUCAAGUACAGUCCAGCCCACGGGUAUGGGCCAGGUGGUGAGUACAUUGGUUCCUGUCAGUUAGAAGAAAGUUGACUCAGACAUGUGUUGAGCAUCUAUUGUGUGUAAGGCAGUCAGACUGUUAAAUUUUCACAAUAAUCUUGAACACUAGGUUAGUGAACAGGGUCAAGAUGAAAUGUGGUGUUCCCGAAUCCAGGCUCUGUACUCUUUUCCCAUACAUAGGGUUUUAGAGACGAGCAGGUUGAGCCUUGCCUUCAAGGAACUCACAGUUUUUUUGGAAAGACAAGAAAGUGUGUCAGAGUUCCUUAAGUACUGUAUUAGACCCAGGAAUACCAACCAGGGACGUGGAAUGUCUGGGAGAAUCUCAGGAUAGACAGAGCUGGCUAUUUUUUAAAAAGGAAGAGUGGCUAAUGGGAAGGUCAGGUGACUGGAAGGGAACUUCAGAGUGAGCAGAUAUCAGGAGUGAAUGCACGUCACGGCGCAUCCUGGAACAUGCAUGUGAGUAUGCAUGUGUGUUUAUGCUCCUACAUAUAACAUGCACCUGCAUACGAAAUGGCCUGGGAGCCCUGCGGCCUAGGGAAAGAUUUAUAAAGUGCAUGUGCUAAGUCCAGCAUGGUGACCUGCUUAAUGACUGGAUUCAGGUCUGUGCUGGUGAUUUUGCCGUCUGAGGUCUCCCAAGCUCCAGUUGCUGAGGGUUGCGUGCAAGCUCACUCUGUGCGGCCUUUUCUGGCUCUCUUUCCAUUUGUGGCUGUCGCCAGUGCCUUCUUCUCUUUCCCUCCCCAUCAUCCUUCUUCCUUUCUUUAUUCUGUCAGAGGCUUUCUUCAGCUGUAGGAAGCCUGUUUUUUUCCUCCUUAGCCCAUAACAUAGGAAAUAAAAGGAAAAGCUAGGCAGAACGAGUAGAGAGAGUGUGACUCACCUAACACGGGUGCUGGGAGCUGAACACUGGUCCUCUUAAGGAAAAAUGCGAGCCUUUGGCCACCGAGCCACUUCUGCAGCUCAUAGACCAAAGUGCUUUAUCACGUGGCGCAGACCCCUAUGGUGGGGAUAGCCUCUUCCACACAGGACUGUUCAUACAUUUCCUCUGUGUUUCUAUGAGCACGCAUGUUUUCACAAGGAUGUCAGAAUUUAACCCCAAGUGUUUGCUAAAUCUAGUCUCCUUUCAACCUGAAGGGAACCAGUUUGUUUUCAAGCUGCCAUUGGUGGCCAGCGCUAUCCAUUUGGUGGGAACAAUUAAUAUACCAGUGACUAAGGAAAGGUCAACAUGAAGCUAGCGAAGCUAGCAAUAGUGGCCAACACCUGGAGUUCUGCUGUGCCCACCCUCAGGAUGGUAGGGCAGGAGGAUUACUGUGAGUUUGAAGCCAGCAGGAACGACUCCGUAAGACCCUGUCUCAAAGAACUGUAACUAAAAUAUAAAAGGAAGGAAGGAAAGAAAGAAAAGAAAAGACAAGGAAGUGAAGCCACUAAUAGUAUGAACCCAAGAAGCUGGCUCCUUCUACCUGUCCCCAGAUGGCCACAUUACCCAGUUAGUAUACAGACUUAGAGACCUAGUUUUUUUUCCUUGUUUGUCCUUAAUUUUGGAAAAAAGAAGCCACAGUUAAGGUCACAGUAGCAUAAGUCCAUUCUUCUUAGCCUUUAUACUUCCCUUGUUGGUGCCCACGUAACAUGCACAUCACACACACACACACACACACACACACACACACACACACACCCCUCUGCUCAGUCAGGGCUCCUAAGACAUAGGAGGAACCUAGCUCUUUGCUAUGUAAAUCAUCUAGGGAGAUUUACUCAGGAGCUCUCAGCACCACUGAGGCCAAGGGAGCCUGCGAGCAAUUAGAAACUCUUUCUGUGACUUCCAGACUGUGCUGCAACAGAUGAGUGCAUCUAGUCUUGCUCCAAGCAGGGGAUGUCUAAUCAAGGGGAGGGAUUUCAGGAAAACAGGAAAUGGAAGGUUAGCCUGAGUGCUCCCCACCCCACCUCAGUGUGUUUAUGUUCCAGAAGAGGCCCCUUUAAAAAAAGAAAAGAAAAGAAGGUUUGCUUUUAUGAAGACAUAAUCUUGGGGGAGAGAUGUAACCAGAGAUUCCUUCAUUUAAGAAUGACGGUCCUGGCCGUGUGGCCUAAUGCAGAGCGCUGAGAGUAUUCCUGAGUUAAGUAUAAUCACAAGCCAAACUCGGGGAAAUAGAAAAAAAACAAUAGUAGUAGUUCAUUUAAAAUCUAGUUGGAAUUUGGAAAUCAUAGCCACCUCAUAGUCAGUUAUAAGUUUGCUUAAUUAUCUUUUAUUUAUUUGAGAUAGGGUCUUCUGGACCCCGGGCUGUCGUCAAACUUGCUGUAUUGCCUGCCAGAGAACCUUGAACGGCCAUGAACGCUUGCUUGACAGGCACUGUCUGAGCUACACUCCAGCCUGCUAUGAGCUUUUAAUUUUUUUUUUAAUGAUUUUUCUUUAUGUGUAUGUGUGAGUCCCUGUGUGUAUGCAUGGGCACUUCCUCUUCACAGUGCCCGUGGAAGCCAGAAGGGGCAUCGGAAGCCCUGAAACUGGAGUUACAGAUUGCUGAGAGCUGCAAUGUGGUUGCUGGGAACCAAACACUGUACCCUGGCAGCCAGCGCUCUUACCCAUGGAACCAUUUCUCUAACCCCUUGUUAUGCUUUUUAUUGGGCAGUUGCCCUACACGAAUCUCUUAAUUUUAGUAUCAGUGGGCCGGGCCGGCCUCGCCACUGAUGUGCCCCAGGCCAGACUCUGGGACAGGAUUUUAGGUUUUGCCUCUGUGUUUUCCUCCAGCAACUUCUCAGAGUUACAAGCUCACUUAUUAAUUCGUCAAUGAAAGUGUUUGAGCAGGCCACUGUUCAUUAUUCGUUAUCAAUACCAGGCUUUGUAAACAAGAAAAAUAAACGUGAUAACUCACAAACGCCCCGCUGGGAAUAACUGUCCCGCCUGACACAGGAGCUGACCCGUUGCAUCUUUAACGUUUAUUCUUAGUAUUCCUUCUACGAGGUCCUGGGAGUUCCCGAAGGCAGUCUUACACCCACCUCACUCUUCGUUUCUGUCUGAAGAGGUAGGGUGGAGGAGGAGACCUGACUUGGUGAGAGUCGGAUAUGGAAUACUGGGCUGAGAGCAUGCGCCUGCGAUGUACCCCUCACACAGCCUGCAGUUCCACCCCCACCUGCGCUAAGUCCGUUAAGGUGAUGUCUGAACCGAAUUUUGUUAUAUCAGUGUGUAUGAGCGCUUUGUCUACAUGAUUUUCCAAGAAUAUAUACUACCAAAGAGAACUUUGUUUUACAAAGCAUCUUUUUCAUGUUAGGACACAGGAUUUUCUCAGGUAUGGUUUAGUUACGUGGCUUUGAUGGUGAUUUUAGGGAGGGGGGGUUGUUUAUAUGAUCAGUUAAGGGCCUUCAGGACAAGGACCCUGGAACAAAUUCCAGCUAAGCAGAGGAUUCUGGCUAAACAAUUAGCUAUCAUUUCCUCUUUAUUCUAGGUCUUCUACCCCUACUUGGGAACUUUAGGGAGAAAAGUGUAUGUGGUUUUAAAUUCGGUGGUUGGUUAGUAUGUGGGGCAUUUCAUACAGCUGGCUUUACUCUUCACCUAAGGCUGCCUUAAAAAGGACUAUUAUCAGUGCUUAGUGUCAAAAGAGAACCAUCAUGGACCAGAGAGGUGGUUUGGUACAGGGUGUGUCAGAUAAACCUUUAAUACCAGCUCACCGGAGGCAGAGGCAGAUGUAGUUGAAGUUCUAUGAGUUCCAGGCCAGUCUGGUCUUGAUAGUCAGGGGUACACAGUACAUAAGAUAAGUAAGUAAGAAAGAAAAAGG